CGGAGUGCCUGUAUGAGUGCCCAGAGCUCAGCAUGCUGUGCCAACUAGGAAGGGGCUCCGGCUAGGAUCACCUCAUUCUUUGUGGUUACCUCAUAUCCAGCAUGACAAACUCCAUCUUCCACGAAGCUGCUCCCAUCUGUGAACAGAACGAGGUCAGCAUUGGACAAGGGUGUCAUUUGUAGGUCAGGGAGGCUACAAAAGAGCUCAUCGGUGACACUCAAGCAGUCAUGAUUGGGAAGGCCUAUCUCGGAGGGCAAGAAGGUAACAGAAUUUAAAGCUUUUACAGGAAUAAACCAUAAGCGGGGGUUCUCACAGAGAAGGGCUUGAUACUGAGUAACCUGAUUAUUUGAGAGCCAUUGAUGCCCUCUUGUGUUUAACAGUUCCAAGACCACGUGUGGAACCUGCACAGUAAGGUCCUGACCUAGAGUUAGCUUGUCUGCUUCUUGGAUUAAUAAAACUGAGGCUGCCAAGGCCCGAAGGGAAGGAGGCCACACGUUUGCUACUGGAUCUAAAUUUUUAGACAAGUAUGCCACUGGUUUAUUCCAUGGACCUACUUCUUGGGUUAAUACUCCAAGGGCCACAUGGUUCUUCUCAGUCACAUACAGAACAAAAGGCUGCUUUACAUCCAGUAUGCCUAAAGCAGGGGCAGCUGCUAAGGACUUCAUAAACAGGUUUAGUCAUCUCUGCAAAACCAGGAAUCCAAAUUUUACAGCAGCCUGUCGCCCCAAGAAGCUCCCUCAGCUGUCUCUUAUCUCAUUUAUCUUUCCUCUUAGCCCAUUCCUUGUCUUUCACUAACUCUCUAUUUACAUACACUUUCCUACCCAAUUGUAGCAACUGUGUUAUAUUCAUACCCUCCCAAGUUUCUUGCUUUUGAAUUUUCCUUCUAAUAUCUUGAGCUAACUGGGUCACAAAGUCAUACUGAUUAGCUGAUGGUUAUCAGGAACAGCAGGAUCAAAUGGUGUAUAAAUUCUGUAAACUUUACAGAACCACUCGUAAAAUUUCUCAGGGCUCUCAUCGGGCUCCUGCUGUGUUUCUAGCACUUUAAUCAUAUUUGUAGGCCUUUUACUUGAGGCUCGUAUCCCUGCCAAGAGGGCUGUCUGAUAAUUGCUUAAGCUGUCCUGGCUUCCUGGGGUGUUGGGGUUCCAAUUGUGCCACUCAUUUACUGGAAAUUGUUGUUCAUGUCAAGCAUCUGGAUUUUGUGUGCCUGCCGG
rnacentral:lncRNA from 1 species